GGGGCUGUCCCUGGGGUCUGAUCACCGCUGCGCAACCAGCCCCCUGGUUUCCUAUUUGCCAACGUCUGCUCAGGCUCCCUGGGGCCGCAUCCACGCCAGGGUGUGGGGAUGUAGCAGAUAUGGGGGGCUGAUGGAGCAGGCAGAGGGCCAGGGGGAGGGGCGUCAGUGUGCAGGAAGGACGGCCUCCCCCCAGGAUGCCGCAGUGGAGGGGCGGAGUCUCCGCUAGGGCGUGGGAGCCUGUGGGACCAAAGAGGGGGCAUGGGGAGGUCUGAGAAAGGAGCAGGCGCUGAGAGUGGUCCGCUGAUGCCGCGCCGCUGCCUGGGCUCUGCUGAGAAAUGAGAUCAGAGGAAGGAUAUCCCCUGGAAGAGGUCUGGGGUUUGUUCUGGAGACAGCGGUGGCGGGUGGUGGAGGGACUUUGAAAACUUUUCAACCUGGUCCUUGAACACGUGAGCCCCAGGGUGCAAAGGUGUGAACGGGGAGAAGAAAUGAUCUUAUCAGGAACAAAGGAAAAAUCAAAGCAAACGAAGUUGCAGAGCCCAGAAAGGCGGAAACGGCACCUACGACCUCGACCUGGAGUGGGGUGAGGAUUUCCAAGAUCCCUGCCUGGCCCGGACUUCCCUCUCCAGCUCAAGAUUCACCUUUCAGGCUUCGCACUUGUACAAGAUACACGGCCUGCAGCCUUCUUGGGUCACAUAUGUGUGAAGACAGCCACCUGUCCUUUCUCCAGACGGGACUGGCUGCUCGUGGCCAGCAGAGCUCCUGGUCAUGCCGGGCUGCAGGCACAGCAGGCACAGGGGACAGCAGUGAUCAUCGUACCUGUGCCUGGGUCCACCUGCGGCCUGCGGCAGCUCCUCCAGCCGGGCCUGGACUUCAGGAGGUGCCUGUGUUGGAAGUAGCCGGGACAGGAUGUGCAGCCUUUGUGGUCUCCAUGGAGACAAACGCACCACACACUGCGGGCCAUCUACAGCCCCUGAGGGCGGCAGGAGUUCCCCCUCCCUCCCUUCCUCUCUUUCUUUUCAUAACAGUUUCACUGAGAUAUAAUUCACGUACCAUGCUACUCACCCAUUUAAAGUGUACAACUCAAUGCAUUGUUUUUAGUAUAUUCACAGAUAUGUACAACCACCACCACAGUCAGGUUUUGAACACUUUCAUCACUGGAGAAAGAAACUCUGUAGCCAUUAGCAGUCACGCCCUAUCCCCACCCACCCCCUGGGAAUCAGUAAUCGACUUUCUGUAUUCUGGACAGUUCAUAUAA
rnacentral:lncRNA from 1 species